rnacentral:rRNA from 1 species
AACAGAUGCUAAUACCGAAUAAAACUUAGUAUCGCAUGAUAUCAAGUUAAAAGGCGCUACGGCGUCACCUAGAGAUGGAUCCGCGGUGCAUUAGUUAGUUGGUGGGGUAAAGGCUUACCAAGACGAUGAUGCAUAGCCGAGUUGAGAGACUGAUCGGCCACAUUGGGACUGAGACACGGCCCAAACUCCUACGGGAGGCUGCAGUAGGGAAUCUUCCACAAUGGGCGCAAGCCUGAUGGAGCAACGCCGCGUGUGUGAUGAAGGCUUUCGGGUCGUAAAGCACUGUUGUAUGGGAAGAAAUGCUAAAAUAGGGAAUGAUUUUAGUUUGACGGUACCAUACCAGAAAGGGACGGCUAAAUACGUGCCAGCAGCCGCGGUAAUACGUAUGUCCCGAGCGUUAUCCGGAUUUAUUGGGCGUAAAGCGAGCGCAGACGGUUGAUUAAGUCUGAUGUGAAAGCCCGGAGCUCAACUCCGGAAUGGCAUUGGAAACUGGUUAACUUGAGUGUUGUAGAGGUAAGUGGAACUCCAUGUGUAGCGGUGGAAUGCGUAGAUAUAUGGAAGAACACCAGUGGCGAAGGCGGCUUACUGGACAACAACUGACGUUGAGGCUCGAAAGUGUGGGUAGCAAACAGGAUUAGAUACCCUGGUAGUCCACACCGUAAACGAUGAAUACUAGGUGUUAGGAGGUUUCCGCCUCUUAGUGCCGAAGC